AAAAUAACUUAUAAAGGUACUCUUGCUAGUAAGCAAUAAACUAAAAUUAGUCAAACACAAAAAGAGUGAUGUUUGUUAAAUAAAUUGUUCUCAAAUUAAAUGUAUGUUUAAAAGAGCAUGUAGGUAGUCUGAAAAACUCAAAAUGUUCGACAGGCCUGUAUAGUAGAACACUGCAUUACAAAUGUUAACGAACAUGAAAAUAUCCUAAAAUUACUACAUAUGUAGGUGCACCCUUAAACAACAAAAAAUUUACAGUACUACCAAACUCUUAAAAACUCUUCCAGCAGUUAAAAUCCUGUUAAUAAUGAUAAAGAAACUUUUACUUUCAGUAACACUUUUACUUAUAUACAUAUAAUUGAGUUUUUUUUAUGUGUAUGCCCCACCCCUUAGCUUAAGUAUAAAAGUCCUUACUUUAAUUUGAUUUUAGUUAUAUUUUUUGUGUUCUUGAAAAUGACCAAUUUGUUCGAAACAAUUAAAUGAAUUAAUGUAUUACCUGCAGGUUUUUUAUUUUGUGUUUAUCUUUGUACAUGUAUUGAUUAACAAAUUUGUUUAAGUAGAUAGUCAACCAACUACAAGCAACGGUUAUGUGAGGCCACUGUUAGUAACACAAAUACCGGGUUGGAACGGUCCGGCGUCCGUAAGUUACCCGAACACACCCCAACAUUCGUUCUUACAGUCACCCGAUCCAGGCAGAGAUACUCCAUCCGUUGCCAGCAGGUAUGGAAAUUACGGCGCUAACGUCUGCUAAUAUGAACUUUCCACGUGCUCCGUUUUGUUUUUAAA